CCUACGGGUGGCAGCAGUGGGGAAUAUUGGACAAUGGGCGAAAGCCUGAUCCAGCCAUGCCGCGUGUGUGAAGAAGGCCUUCGGGUUGUAAAGCACUUUCAGUGGGGAAGAAAGCCUUGGGGCUAAUACCCUCGAGGAAGGACAUCACCCACAGAAGAAGCACCGGCUAACUCCGUGCCAGCAGCCGCGGUAAUACGGAGGGUGCGAGCGUUAAUCGGAAUUACUGGGCGUAAAGCGCGCGUAGGCGGUCUGAUAAGCCGGUUGUGAAAGCCCCGGGCUCAACCUGGGAACGGCAUCCGGAACUGUCAGGCUAGAGUGCAGGAGAGGAAGGUAGAAUUCCCGGUGUAGCGGUGGAAUGCGUAGAGAUCGGGAGGAAUACCAGUGGCGAAGGCGGCCUUCUGGACUGACACUGACGCUGAGGUGCGAAAGCGUGGGUAGCAAACAGGAUUAGAUACCCGAGUAGUC
rnacentral:rRNA from 1 species